AAGCAAACGAGAAAGAGACAGAA
rnacentral:snRNA from 1 species